GACGGAGGAUGCAAGUGUUAUCCGGAAUCACUGGGCGUAAAGCGUCUGUAGGUGGUCAAAUAAGUCAACUGUUAAAUCUUGAGGCUCAACCUCAAAAUCGCAGUCGAAACUAUUAGACUAGAGUAUAGUAGGGGUAAAGGGAAUUUCCAGUGGAGCGGUGAAAUGCGUAGAGAUUGGAAAGAACACCGAUGGCGAAGGCACUUUACUGUGCUAUUACUAACACUCAGAGACGAAAGCUAGGGUAGCAAAUGGG
rnacentral:rRNA from 1 species